AGUGAACGCUGGCGGUAGGCCUAACACAUGCAAGUCGAACGGCAGCACAGUAAGAGCUUGCUCUUACGGGUGGCGAGUGGCGGACGGGUGAGGCAUACAUCGGAAUCUACUUUUUCGUGGGGGUUAACGUAGGGAAACUUACGCUAAUACCGCAUACGACCUACGGGUGAAAGCAGGGGAUCUUCGGACCUUGCGCGAAUGAAUGAGCCGAUGUCGGAUUAGCUAGUUGGCGGGGUAAAGGCCCACCAAGGCGACGAUCCGUAGCUGGUCUGAGAGGAUGAUCAGCCACACUGGAACUGAGACACGGUCCAGACUCCUACGGGACGCAGCAGUGGGGAAUAUUAGACAAUGGGCGCGAGCCUGAUCCAGCCAUACCGCGUGGGUGAAGAAGGCCUUCGGGUUGUAAAGCCCUUUUGUUGGGAAAGAAAAGCAGCAGGUUAAUACCACGCUGUUCUGACGGUACCCAAAGAAUAAGCACCGGCUAACUUCGUG
rnacentral:rRNA from 1 species